GGGAAACAGAAGAUUCCCUUGAGAGUAACAGGCUGGAGUUGAUUUCUGAGACAAAGAAAAAGAAUAAUGGCAGAGUUAUAAAUGAGAUGAUGUCAAGAACCUUCAGUUUGAGAAGACAGGAGAUUGUAGGUCAAGCCCCAAGUGUUGCAGAUCUUCUAGAGAGAUGGCCUGCCCUCUUUGAACCAUCACAGACUCUGUUUCUUUUAAGCUGUGCCACAUUCAGUUGAAUUUCACAUUGCUCAAUUAUGGUAAAUGGCCCAUAGUUGUGAAGACGGGAUCUGUGAAGAGUUCCUGAGAAUCAGUGGCAUAUCACUUGAGUCGACAUUUAUGUCACAGUUGGACAGGCAAACUCCAAAGCUGUUGUCACUUUUCAACGCAAAAGGAGGAGCUGUCGGUCAAAGAAUCAAGUUACAAAUGAUGACACUCAUCCAGGAUCCAUCUGCCUCUGUGGAGAAAAGGAGAGAAGUGGUCCUGAGAUGCCUGAUUGAGUACAUGGGGGGGAGA
ensembl:lncRNA